AAGCGGUCAGAGAGGGAGAGUAAAAAAAUGAGCGAGGGAGAACGCACCAGAUAAAGCCGAGCUCGAUUCCACGGAGGUCUGUUCUGGGGGCUACGAUCCGAUUCUUUGUUGUGGUCAGUUGGAAAAUCGAAGGCGUCGCGUCGCGUUGCGACUUCAAAACGAACUUUAAACGAAACGAACUAGUUUUUAAAUAUGAAAACAAUAAGAAAUUAAAUAAAAUAAUUACUACAAUUAAAGUUAGUGUUUGAAAAGUGGAAAGUACUUAAUAUAAUGUAUAGUGAACAAAAAUGAUAAGAAUAUGCAAAUCUACUUUCAUUAUUAAUCAUCUUUGAAGUUAUAAAAAAAGUAAAAUGGGAGUCAUCUUACUAUAUAAAAUAAUCUUAAAUCUAUGCAUAAAUCAACUUUAAAAAUAAAACGAAAUAUUUAAAGUGUUCUUACUAUAAAGAAUAUAUGAAAUUAACGAAAAACCAUUUAAUUUAUGUUCUUUAACGCGUGAAAAGAAACUUGAAAAGUUUUUUAACUUGAGAAUUAAAAGCUUAUCGAAAUUUUCAAAAAUAGCUUAAAAACCUUGAAGUGAGCCAUUAAAAACAAACUUAAACUAAUCUUAAAAAAUGAGUUCGUAUAGGACAUUGGUAGAUCGUGGACCUCCCAUCCUUGUGAAUGGCAUUGAAAUAACGCCGAUCAGUGCCUCGGCCACUAGUUCGCCCAAAACUCUACACCGAAUGAUCAAGUAUUGGCGCAAUAGUUCCGGAAAAAUUCCGGGUCUGCGGAAAAGCGAGAGUUUUGCGGAGUAUCGCCGCCACUCAUCAAACGCGGCCCCAGUUUCUAGAGGAUCCGGGGGCAGAUCAAGCACUUCGAGUGCCAGGCAGUUGCAAUAUCAGCGACUGGAGAUGGAAAGCUGCGAGAAUAUUGACUUGCUGACAGGACCACUAAGGUGAGUUCGAUUCGAUAGAAUUAAGCAUGGAAUGCUAUAAACAAUUAGCCCGAAAUCGUUUCGAAAUCAAUUUAUCUCUUACUCUUAAAAAACAAUAGAGCUGGAAUAUAAAACCUAAUUUUGUAAACUAAAUAAGAUAUGCAAAUGUAUGCAUAGAUUUCCAACCUGUUUACAUAGAAUACACCCAAAAAAUAAUAGUAGCAUCCAUUGUCUUGCGGUAUUCGUUUGAAGUGUAACCCCAAAUAUGUGGGGCAUGCAACAGUUGGUUAUCGGUUGGUUGUCUGCUUUUCGAAACGCCCCUCGCAGCUGCGGUUUAUCUUGCGGUUAUCAGCUGUUCCUUAUCAGCCAACAAAAACAACAAACCCCAACAUUGUGGAUGAGAUAGAGAGAAACGAACAAGUGCAACACGCCACCGCAAAAGCCGACGUCACUUUGUGGAUUUUGUGGAUCCAAUCCGUGGGAGAGUUAGCUGCGUGAGAGUGGGAGAGAAAUUAUUUAUGUUGGAUCCAAACUCUCGAGUCGUAGUCGCUUCGCUUCGCUUCGGGUGAACUGUUGGACUUCCAGUAUCCACAUACAGUCCACAGCGCGUGGUGGAGCUUGGAACGUUUUGUACACUGAAACUGAAGUAAAAGUCCUAGCAUGAAAAAAUUGAAACCCUAUUUAAGUACAAUUUCUAGAAAAAACUAAAUGUUGAGGGAAUUCAAAAGUUCGGAAAAUAUUGUUUUAAAAAAAAAAAAAAUAAUAUAUUGAUAAACUAUUUGUUUUAAAUAAAUUCUUAGGUAAAUAUAACAGUAUGAUACAUUAUAAAAAUAGUGUAAUAUAUUUUUGAAAAUAAGUCAAGCAGUCUAACAAUUUUUUUCAGUGUAAAAAUAAACUGUUUAUGUUUUCAUUCCAAUAACGGAGAGUGGGAUAAAGAGCGAUUAUGGGAGCAUAAUUUCGGUGAUUCUCUCAGGCCAAAAACAAAAAGCAUAUGGAACGCCGUCUCUUUUUGACUCGUGCCUCUGUUUACUUAUGUAUUUGUGUCCCACGCCGGUUAUUCAGUUUGUUUUCGUUAUCUCUCCGCGGUGGGAAAUCAUUGCCUUCUGCAUACUUUUGGGGUACACUGUGCAAAUAUCCAACUUGCAACUGCAUCGGCGGCUCCUUUGAGCCGCAUUGUUUUCCAAACUGUUUACUUUGGCUAAUGCGGGCUGCCCCUUGUACCAACCCCUCCUUCGGCAUCCUUCCCUCGCUCCAUCUCUUUCUGUUUGCUUAAACUGCGCGCAUUUGGAAUGUAAAUAAAUGUAAAUAAACAAGAAUCUCGCCCCCAUGAAGGCAACAAAAGCAAUAAGUGCACAAAAACAACAAACUGCAGUCCUCCCACUCUCACUGUCUCUCUCUCUCACCCAAAAGCAAAGUGCAAGUACAACUGAGGUCAUAUUGGUAGUAUCGGUAGUUCAUUUUGAUUUCAUUUUAUCUUCCAACUUCUAUAAGAUACUUUAUUUAAAUAUGUGCGUAAUUUACCAUAAAUAUUCAAUUAUUUCUGGCCAUGCUACGAUUUUAUGCAUACCACGAAUGUAUAGUUCAGACACCAGCUACUAUUAUGGCCCCAAUUGUACGAUAACUCUUCCAGCGCCAGAGAGCGAGAGAGCGCCCUGGAGAGCCGGUUUGUGUGGAUUAUAUUCCCAUGUGGAACCUGAAAUCUGAGCUUCGUGCGCAAUGUGCGAGCAGUGUGAUUGCUGUUGUUGUUGCUCCUCAUUCGUUUUGGGGGCUAAACCAGCAGCUUUUCUACUUUUCGCCUCAGAGUCGUUUUGAAAACCGACUCGUGUGGGCGUGCGAGCCAGCGAGUGUCCGUCUGUGUGUGUGCGAGUGCGAGGACAACCAGGCGUGUGUUCGUUGUAUGUGUACAUAGUCGCGCGUCUGCGUCGGGAAAAUUCUGAAAUCGGAAAACGGAACAGGAAUCGUAAUAUAUUUCGGGUUUCCGGUACGUCUUCUGCUGCUGCUGCUGCUCCUUCGUCAUGAUUAGCUAGUUAAAAAGUAACGGUAGAACACGACGAGCAGUUGCCAAUUGGCAGCAACAGAUGAAAGAGCAAGAAGAGCAGCGCGAAAAGAAAAAAUCAAAACAAAACUCAGAUAAAUAAUAAAACUAAAGGAAAAGCAAACAAUAAUAAAGCUACAGAUUCGUUGAACGAAUUUAACGAAUAUGUGAAAGUGAAAAGCAGCAAAAUGAAAAAAGUGAAGUGAAUGUGAAAAACUAAAAGCAUUCUUA